rnacentral:sRNA from 1 species
GGGUACGAGACCGCUCGGGGCCGGGGUCCCGGCGCCCCCUCCCCGCGCGCAGCCGCAGGGUCCUCAGCAGCGCGCUCGGGCCCGGCAGUGACGUCACUGUCCCCGUCCCGCGCCCCUCUCCCCCAGGCCACCCGUACAUCAUGACCGUGGGCUGCGUGGCGGGCGACGAGGAGUCCUACGAAGUGUUCAAGGAUCUCUUCGACCCCAUCAUCGAGGACCGGCACGGCGGCUACAAGCCCAGCGAUGAGCACAAGACCGACCUCAACCCCGACAACCUGCAGGUGCGGGGCGGCGGGCGGGCCGGGCGGGCGGGGCCGGGGUCUCCGGGCGCUCACUCCCGUCUCGCCCCCCAGGGCGGCGACGACCUGGACCCCAACUACGUGCUGAGCUCGCGGGUGCGCACGGGCCGCAGCAUCCGUGGCUUCUGCCUCCCCCCGCACUGCAGCCGCGGGGAGCGCCGCGCCAUCGAGAAGCUCGCGGUGGAAGCCCUGUCCAGCCUGGACGGCGACCUGGCGGGCCGGUACUACGCGCUCAAGAGCAUGACGGAGGCGGAGCAGCAGCAGCUCAUCGACGACCAUUUCCUUUUCGACAAGCCCGUGUCGCCCCUGCUGCUGGCCUCGGGCAUGGCCCGCGACUGG